rnacentral:tRNA from 3 species
GCGCGCCUAGCUCAGUUGGUUAGAGCAUCUCGUUUACACCGAGAGGGUCGGGGGUUCGAAUCCCUCGGCGCGCACCA